AAGCAGUCAGGGCAGCGGUAGCCCCCUGAUGAGAGCUUUCGCAGGCCCGAAACUGCUG
rnacentral:hammerhead_ribozyme from 15 species